rnacentral:rRNA from 1 species
GACGAACGCUGGCGGCGUGCCUAAUACAUGCAAGUCGCUCGCAGUGGGGACGGGUGAGUAACACGUGGGUAAACUCCCAUGCGAGGGGAUAACACUUGGAAACAGGUGCUAAAACGAUACUGCUGGUUGGACCAGCGGUGCAUUAGCUAGUUGGUGAGGUAACGGCUCACCAAGGCCACGAUGCAUAGACGACCUGGGAGGGUGAUCGGCCACACUGGGACUCAGACGCGGCCCAGGCCCCUACUGAGAGCAGCAGUAGGGAUUCUUCGGCAAUUAACAGUAGUCUGACCGAGCAACGCCGCGUGAUUGAAGAACUUUUUCGGAUCGUGAAACUCUGGUGUUAGAGAAUCGGUAUCUAACCAGGAAGCCAAGGCUGACUACGCACCAGCAGCCGCGGUAAUAC